UCUAACAACAUGUAUAAAUAGGCAAUCAACAAGAGAAUUGCACAUAUAAUACAAGGCUUGCACGAGGGCAAGCAACAACGGAAGCGAAAGCUCUAAGCUAAAGAUACAUCACACGUGAUAUUUGAUUUCAUUUAAACCAAAUUCAAGUAAACAAAGCUAUUACAUUCCAUUCAACCAUCAUAUCUUUUACAUUUAGUCAUCCACCAAAUACACGAUUGUUUACAACUUUACAUCUCUAAAUCAACAAAAUAAA
rnacentral:lncRNA from 1 species